rnacentral:rRNA from 1 species
GAUGAACGCUGGCGGCGUGCCUAAUACAUGCAAGUCGAGCGAACAGACGAGGAGCUUGCUCCUCUGACGUUAGCGGCGGACGGGUGAGUAACACGUGGAUAACCCACCUAUAAGACUGGGAUAACUUCGGGAAACCGGAGCUAAUACCGGAUAAUAUAUUGAACCGCAUGGUUCAAUAGUGAAAGACGGUUUUGCUGUCACUUAUAGAUGUAUCCGCGCCGCAUUAGCUAGUUGGUAAGGUAACGGCUUACCAAGGCAACGAUGCGUAGCCGACCUGAGAGGGUGAUCGGCCACACUGGAACUGAGACACGGUCCAGACUCCUACGGGAGGCAGCAGUAGGGAAUCUUCCGCAAUGGGCGAAAGCCUGACGGAGCAACGCCGCGUGAGUGAUGAAGGUCUUCGGAUCGUAAAACUCUGUUAUUAGGGAAGAACAAAUGUGUAAGUAACUAUGCACGUCUUGACGGUACCUAAUCAGAAAGCCACGGCUAACUACGUG